rnacentral:rRNA from 1 species
UACGAAGGGGGCUAGCGUUGCUCGGAAUCACUGGGCGUAAAGGGUGCGUAGGCGGGUCUUUAAGUCGGGGGUGAAAUCCCGGGGCUCAACCCCGGAACUGCCUUUGAUACUGGCAAUCUAGAGUCCGGAAGAGGUGAGUGGAAUUCCGAGUGUAGAGGUGAAAUUCGUAGAUAUUCGGAGGAACACCAGUGGCGAAGGCGGCUCACUGGUCCGGAACUGACGCUGAGGUGCGAAAGCGUGGGGAGCAAACAGG